rnacentral:rRNA from 1 species
CCCUUAGACGUUCUGGGCCGCACGCGCGCUACACUGACCAGCGCAACAAGCAUCCGUCCUUGGCCGACAGGCCCGGGCAAUCUUUGAACGCUGGUCGUGAUGGGGAUAGACUUUUGCAAUUUUUGGUCUUCAACGAGGAAUUCCUAGUAAACGCAAGUCAUCAACUUGCAUUGAUUACGUCCCUGCCCUUUGUACACACCGCCCGUCGCACCUACCGAUUGAAUGGUCCGGUGAAGCCUCCGGAUUGGCGCGCACCUCGGUGCCGCCGAGAAGUUGGCUAAACCUUACCAUUUAGAGGAAGGUGAAGUCGUAACA